UACGAGGGGGGCGAGCGUUGUUCGGAAUUAUUGGGCGUAAAGGGUGCGUAGGCGGUUUGGUAAGUCUGAUGUGAAAUCUAUGGGCUCAACUCAUAGUCUGCAUCAGAAACUGCCGGGCUUGAGUAUGGGAGAGGUGAGUGGAAUUCCUGGUGUAGCGGUGAAAUGCGUAGAUAUCAGGAGGAACACCUGUGGCGAAAGCGGCUCACUGGACCAUAACUGACGCUGAUGCACGAAAGCGAGGGGAGCAAACAGG
rnacentral:rRNA from 1 species